UACGUAGGGGGCGAGCGUUGUCCGGAUUUAUUGGGCGUAAAGAGCGUGUAGGCGGCCAGAUAGGUCCGUUGUGAAAACUCGAGGCUCAACCUCGAGACGCCGAUGGAAACCAUUUGGCUAGAGUCCGGAAGAGGAGAGUGGAAUUCCUGGUGUAGCGGUGAAAUGCGCAGAUAUCAGGAAGAACACCCGUGGCUAAGGCGGCUCUCUAGUACGGUACUGACGCUGAGACGCGAAAGCGUGGGGAGCGAACAGG
rnacentral:rRNA from 1 species